GAACGGUAACAGGAAGCAGCUUGCUGCUUUGCUGACGAGUGGCGGACGGGUGAGUAAUGUCUGGGAAACUGCCUGAUGGAGGGGGAUAACUACUGGAAACGGUAGCUAAUACCGCAUAACGUCGCAAGACCAAAGAGGGGGACCUUCGGGCCUCUUGCCAUCGGAUGUGCCCAGAUGGGAUUAGCUAGUAGGUGGGGUAACGGCUCACCUAGGCGACGAUCCCUAGCUGGUCUGAGAGGAUGACCAGCCACACUGGAACUGAGACACGGUCCAGACUCCUACGGGAGGCAGCA
rnacentral:rRNA from 1 species